CCCAAGCAUCUGUGCCCCCUGCAGAGCACAUCUGCUGAUGGGAGGUCAGGCGUGGGGCUGAGUGUCCACUGCCCCCAGCAAGACCAGCCAAGUCCUAGAGCCCUGGCCCUGCUGUGGCACCCAGUGCCCUGGUGCAGACAGCGAGGCGUCUUUGAAGUGAAGCUCGGGAUUGACGUGUGAACACCCAGCUCUUGGGAGUGUCUGCUCAGAGGGAAUGAUUUAUUUGAGGAGGGGCUGUGUAGCUUGUGUAUCAGCAGAGGCGCCGCUGGGAACAAAACGAAAGCCUUUGCAAAACGUGGCCGCAAAAACUCUUCAAAGGUGGAAGGAGUUAGUUGAAGUCCCACACACUAUCCGAUAUUAUAAACAGCUGUUCCACCCACACUACGGUCAAAGCAGCAGCAUGCUGAUCCCUGCGAAGGUGUGUGAGUAUUUUGUCAUUGAUGAAGCCAGGCCACGUACAGCAUGAGGAAUAUGCCAAAGCCAAAGACCGCCUUGGAGCUCACCCUUCCCUCGGUCCCCAAAGUUCGGAAUCGUGGACCGUUAGCAAGAACUCUCUGGCUGAUCGUUAUUGGCUCAGGUCUCAAACCACACGGAGCUUUAUUGACUGAAAAUACAAUACUGAAUUUUUCCCACUAGUUACAAGAACAGAAUCCCUCGGUAUCGUGGGGAUUGGUUCCAGGACCCCUGCAGAUACCAAAAUCCACGGAUGCUCAGGUGCCUUAUGUAAAACGGCACAGUACAAUCGGCCCUCUGUAUCCAGGGUUUCUGCACCUGUGGACUUAACCAACUGUUGAAUGCAUUGAAGGUUUGUGGCAGCUCUGCAACGAGCAAGUCUAUCAGCUCCAGUUUCCCGACAGCGUUUGCUCACUUCUCUGCGUCAGGUUUUGGCCCCUCCCUGUUCCCCGACACGCAGCAAUAUUGAAAUUAGGCCAGUUAAUAACCCCACAAUGGCUCUAAGUGUUCAAGUGAAAGGAAGACUCCCACGUCUCUCACUUUAAAUCAAAAGCUAGAAAAAAUUAAGCUUCCUGAGGAAGGCAUGUCGAAAGCUGAGUCAGCCGAGCUGUGAGUGCAAAGGAAAAGUUCUUCAAGGAAAUUAAAAGUGCUACUUCAGUGAACACAGGAAUGAUAAAAAUGCCAAAUAGCCUUCUUGCUGACUGCAGAAAGUCUCGGUGUCUGGAUAGAAGCUGAAAGCAGCCACAACACUCCCUUAAGCCAAAGUCUAGUGCAGAGCGAGGCCCUGACUCUCUUCAGUUCUGUGAAGGCUGAGAGAGGUGAGGAAGCUGCAGGAGAAAAGUCUGAAGCCAGCGAGGUCGGUUCAUGAGGUUUCAGGAAAGAAGCCGCCUCCGUCACAUGAAAGUAUAUGAGGAAGCAGCAGGUGCUGGUGUAGAAGCUGCAGCAAGUUAUCCAGAAGAUCCAGCUAAGAGAAUUCAUGAAGCUACACUGAACAACAGAUUUUCAAUGCAGAUGAAACAGCCUCCUAUUGGAAGACGCCAUCUAGGACUUGCACAGCUAAAG